GGGUCCGCACAAGCGGUGGAGCAUGUGGUUUAAUUCGAUAUUACGCGAGGAACCUUACCUGGGUACAAUUAUGUUGAAAAAAGUUAAGAAAUUAAUUAUUCUUUCGAGACAACAUACAAGGUGCUGCAUGGCUGUCGUCAGCUCGUGCCGUGAGGUGUUGGGUUAAGUCUCCUAACGAGCGCAACCCUUAUAUUUAGUUGCCAACACGUAAUGGUGGGAACUCUAAAUAAACUGCCUACAAAAGUAGAGAGGAAGGAGGGGAUGAGGUCAAGUCAUCAUGGCCCUUACAUCCAGGGCUACACACGUGCUACAAUGGUAUAUACAGAGAGAAGCUACUUGGUAACAAGAUG
rnacentral:rRNA from 1 species